CCUACGGGAGGCAGCAGUGAGGAAUAUUGGUCAAUGGGCGGAAGCCUGAACCAGCCAAGUAGCGUGAGGGAUGAAGGCCCUACGGGUCGUAAACUUCUUUUGCACGGGAAUAACAUCCUCCACUUCUAGAGCUCUGCAUGUACCCUACGAAUAAGGACCGGCUAACUCCGUGCCAGCAGCCGCGGUAAUACGGAGGAUCCGAGCGUUAUCCGGAUUUAUUGGGCGUAAAGGGAGCGUAGGCGGGUAGUUAAGGCCGCAGGGAAAAGCGGGGGGUCAACCCCUGGACUGCAGUGGAGACUGGAAGCCUUGAGUGCAGGAGAGGUAGGCGGAAUUCGUGGUGUAGCGGUGAAAUGCAUAGAUAUCACGAGGAACACCGAUGGCGAAGGCAGCCUGCUGGACUGUAACUGACGCUGAGGCUCGAAAGUGUGGGUAUCAAACAGGAUUAGAUACCCUUGUAGUC
rnacentral:rRNA from 1 species